ACAAACUUGGUCAUUUAGAGGAAGUAAAAGUCGUAACAAGGUUUCCGUAGGUGAACCUGCGGAAGGAUCAUUAGAAUUAAGAGUACUGCGCUCUUUUUUACUUGCUACCUUUGCCCGGAUUCUUUUUUUAAACCCCCGCGCAUGAAGCCACACGUGGGGGAAACUGGUUCGAUCGAGGUUGUGCACACACUUGGACCGACAGGUCUCGGUGAAUCUUGAAAAAGCCAGUAUGUGGGAAGGUCAUCAUCCUUUGGAGCGCUUGGGAUUGUUUGGAAUGUUUGACCCCUUGAAUCUUACCAGACUGAAUCUGUUCAAUGCCCGUCAAUGCUGAGCUGGACAAAUUUUGUUCAUUGAGCAGCAGGGAAGGGGUUGCGAACAACUAAAACAAAAUUAAACGAACAACUCUUAGCAACGGAUAUCUUGGUUCUCGCAUCGAUGAAGAACGCAGC
rnacentral:misc_RNA from 1 species